AGCGGGGUGGAGCAGCCUGGUAGCUCGUCGGGCUCAUAACCCGAAGGUCGUCAGUUCAAAUCUGGCCCCCGCAACCA
rnacentral:tRNA from 1 species